GCUCGGGGUGCUGAUACUGAAUAAGUAAAGGCUGAGAUUACACCCAUAGAACCUGAUACGGGUAAUGCCGGCGCAGGGAAAAGU
rnacentral:ncRNA from 1 species